GAUCAUGGCUCAGGACGAACGCUGGCGGCGUGCCUAACACAUGCAAGUCGAACGGAAGCAAAGAUUUCGGUUUUUGCUUUAGUGGCGAACGGGUGAGUAACGCGUGAGGAACCUGCCUUUCAGUGGGGGACAACAGUUGGAAACGACUGCUAAUACCGCAUAAUGCUUUUGAGUGGCAUCACUUAAAAGCCAAAGAUUUAUUGCUGAAAGAUGGCCUCGCGUCUGAUUAGCUGGUUGGCGGGGUAACGG
rnacentral:rRNA from 1 species